rnacentral:rRNA from 1 species
CCUACGGGUGGCUGCAGUGGGGAAUAUUGGACAAUGGGCGAAAGCCUGAUCCAGCCAUGCCGCGUGUGUGAAGAAGGCCUUCGGGUUGUAAAGCACUUUCAGUGGGGAAGAAAGCCUUGGGGCUAAUACCCUCGAGGAAGGACAUCACCCACAGAAGAAGCACCGGCUAACUCCGUGCCAGCAGCCGCGGUAAUACGGAGGGUGCGAGCGUUAAUCGGAAUUACUGGGCGUAAAGCGCGCGUAGGCGGUCUGAUAAGCCGGUUGUGAAAGCCCCGGGCUCAACCUGGGAACGGCAUCCGGAACUGUCAGGCUAGAGUGCAGGAGAGGAAGGUAGAAUUCCCGGUGUAGCGGUGAAAUGCGUAGAGAUCGGGAGGAAUACCAGUGGCGAGGGCGGCCUUCUGGACUGACACUGACGCUGAGGUGCGAAAGCGUGGGUAGCAAACAGGAUUAGAUACCCCAGUAGUC